rnacentral:rRNA from 1 species
GAAUCCCGUCUUUGGCACGGAUGCCCGGUGCUUCUGUGAUGCGCUCUCGAAGAGUCGAGUUGUUUGGGAAUGCAGCUCAAAAUGGGUGGUGAACUCCAUCUAAAGCUAAAUAUUGGCGAGAGACCGAUAGCGAACAAGUACCGUGAGGGAAAGAUGAAAAGCACUUUGGAAAGAGAGUGAAACAGUACGUGAAAUUGUUGAAAGGGAAACGCUUGAAGUCAGUCACGUCGACCGAGACUCAGCCUUGCCUCGGCUUGGUGUACUUCUCGGCUGACGGGUCAGCAUCAAUUUUGCUCCUCGGAUAAUGGCAAGGGAAAGGUGGCACCUUUACGGGUGUGUUAUAGUCUCCUGUCGCAUGCGAGGGGUGGGAUUGAGGAACUCAGCGCGCACAUUGGUGUCGGGGCUUCUGCCCACGUCACGCGCUUAGGAUGCUGGCGUAAUGGCUUUAAACGACCCGUCUUGAAACACGGACCAAGGAGUCCAACACGCCCGCGAGUGUUCGGGUGGAAAACCCGUGCGCGUAAUGAAAGUGAAAGUUGGGACCUCUGUCGGGGAGGGCACCGACGCCCGGACCAGACCUUCUGUGACGGAUCUGCGGUAGAGCGUGUGUGUUGGGACCCGAAAGAUGGUGAACUAUGCCUGAAUAGGGUGAAGCCAGAGGAAACUCUGGUGGAGGCUCGUAGCGAUUCUGACGUGCAAAUCGAUCGUCAAAUUUGGGUAUAGGGGCGAAAGACUAAUCGAACCAUCUAGUAGCUGGUUCCUGCC